GGUCAAAAGAAGAAGAAGAAGAAAACAGCUGAUUGAGUGAUGAUGGCGGGCGGACAGCUGGUGGUGGGCAGAGCUGUCAUCAAAGGAUUUACGGAUUAUCACCUCUACGCCUUUUCUCCGCGGGUUUCCUUGCUUCCAGGUUGUGAAUGGUCUUGCGCCGCCCCAGCUGGCCGCCCUGCACGCUGUCGCUGUCGUAGUCGCCAUCAAUGCCCUUGAGUCUCUGCAGCUGCCGCACAAUGUCCACGGCAUUUCUCUGGAUGAAGGCGUCCUCGGUGGUGUCCUCGGCCUGAAACAGUCACCCUCCCGUCAGCGCUGACUCAAAAAGUGAGCACAGGUGAGCUCCGUGGAGGCCAGGAUGUGGGAGAUGGUGCCGAAGCGAUGGAACAACAUGGCCACGAACUGGAUGAUCAGGAUGAGGGCAAAGAAGAACACAAACACCAGACCGAUGGGCUCCAGCUGCAGGUGCUCCUGGCUGAU